GGACACUGAAGCUUUCAGCUCUGGGGUCAUUCUACCAACAAACAGUCCUUGAGGGUUCAAGACACCCUGGAAUGCAUGCUGUUCUAACAGUGAGCAUGGAGGUAGCGGGAGCCAGUGAUUCCAUGAGGUUCUAGCCAACCUAGUUUUCAGCGUUGACAAGUGAGGCCAGGGUUGCUCUUGACCAAAAGCUAAGCAUUGCCACCCAGCAUUCCAAGCAGACUUGUUUCCUAGAAGCAUCCUUCAUUCUGCAUUCCAUCCUGGGUCGGCAUCUACCACACACAGCAGGCCUCCUCGUAGGGACCUGGAUAGGGCUAAGACCUCCACUGCAGCUGUUUGGGGCUUGGUUUACACCAGAGUCUUGCACAGCAUUGGUAUCGCAAACCCAGAAUUCUCUCUAGGACACACUGACCAAAAUAUGCAACCUUUUUUUUUUUUUUUUGUGGGAAAAGAGGAAGAGAGAUUGUCCUGUGACUUCUGCCCAUUACCUGAGGCCUGUGGAAAUAAACCUUUAUGUACUUAAAGUUAUACAGAAAAUAGAAUAAAGUUAAUACC
rnacentral:lncRNA from 1 species